rnacentral:rRNA from 1 species
GACGAACGCUGGCGGCGUGCUUAACACAUGCAAGUCGAACGGUGAAGCGCUUGCCUUUUUGGUGGGUGUGGAUGAGUGGCGAACGGGUGAGUAACACGUGAGUAACCUGCCCUCUUCUUCUGGAUAACCUCAUGAAAGUGGGGCUAAUACGGGGUAUUCCGGGUCUGUCGCAUGGCGGGUUUGGGAAAGAUUGCGCCUUUGGGUGUUUUCGGUGGGGGAUGGGCUCGCGGCCUAUCAGCUUGUUGGUGGGGUGAUGGCCUACCAAGGCGGUGACGGGUAGCCGGCCUGAGAGGGUGGACGGCCACACUGGGACUGAGACACGGCCCAGACUCCUGCGGGAGGCAGCAGUGGGGAAUAUUGCACAAUGGGCGCAAGCCUGAUGCAGCGACGCCGCGCGAGGGAUGGAGGCCUUCGGGUUGUGAACCUCUUUCGCCAGUGAAGCAGGCCUGCUCCUGUGUGGGUGGGUUGACGGUAGCUGGAUAAGAAGCGCCGGCUAACUACGUG